UACGUAGGCAGCGAGCGUUGUUCGGAGUUACUGGGCGUAAAGGGUGUGUAGGCGGUUGUUUAAGUUCGGUGUGAAAUCUCCUGGCUCAACUGGGAGGGUGCGCCGGAAACUGGAGUGCUUGAGCGUGGGAGAGGAAAGCGGAAUUCCUGGUGUAGCGGUGAAAUGCGUAGAUAUCAGGAGGAACACCUGUGGUGUAGACGGCUUUCUGGACCAUAGCUGACGCUGAGACACGAAAGCGUGGGUAGCAACAGG
rnacentral:rRNA from 1 species